CAUUAUGAAGCUAAUUUAGCAUUAACCUUUUAAGUUAAAGAUUGGAAAACUAUUUUCCCAUAAUGA
rnacentral:tRNA from 1 species